CUGCUUUAUAUUUGCUUAUAUAUUUCCGCAGAGGCCCAUGGUCAUUUACUUCACUCUUGACCUCAUAGAAAAGAACAUCUAAAAUAAUACCAGAGGUAGAAUAGGAAUGACAUUUUUUAUAAGGACUAUUUUCCAUCUAAAUCUGAAAAAGUGCCACAUUUGGAAGACAACUUAAUGGUGGUAAAGAAAAAAUAAACCUCAUUUAUUUCUUUACUCAUUAAAAAGAGUAUAUAUCUGUAACUCCAGGAAGAAAUGAUAAUAUUGUAUUCGAAUGUUAAUAAAUGCAUUCGCAAACCAAGGAUAAUUUUUGGAAGCUUGAGAUUCUAAUCUUUGAGAAUGUUCUAAUAUCAUUGAACACACAUAUCUGACUUCCCCCCAGUCUGUGUGUAAUGAUUUAAAACUAUGGCAAUAAUUAAGUCUUCUCUAAAUUUAGGUGCUAAAUAUGUAUUCAUUAGUCACUAGGUCCCCUUCUUUGAAGUUACAUAAAAUAAAAGCUGAUCCUUCCAAGAAUAAAGUCAGGGAUCACAUGUUAUACUAUGUUGAGAGUUAGAAACAUUUCUUCACUGUGGGUAAGAUGUACUUUUCUUGGUUUUUAAAUAUAUAGCACUCAGGUUGAGAAGACUUGGAUUUCAUUCUCAGAAAUCCAGAAUCUCUUGCAAAGGAAAGAUUUUCUGUCUCUUAUAAACAAACGGCAGUCUUACAUUCAGAAGAUUUUCCCUAGUGAAGCAUGUGUAACAUUGAUGUGUGUUAAAUAAAAAUAGAAUUUUUAACUUUUUGAAUAAUGCUGAAUAUCUUUCCUGAAUGAUUUUGAAUUUCUUAAAUCUACCCUAUUUUUCUAUUUUAUAGUUAAGUGCCUCAUUUGCUGCCCGUAGUUCGACAAAGGAAAACCAACUUGCACUGCACUAGUACCAAAGUGCUGCUUCAUGGUGCAUUAAUUACUUGUUAAUUUCUCAUAAAAGCUCCUGAAAUGUUGUGGUUCAGUAUUACCUAGUAGGUUUCUUCCGAUGUCUGCUCCCUGUUCUUUUUUUUUGAGAAAGGGCAAAACACAACUGAAUUCAUUUGAGUAUUAGCAUUUACAAGCAACAUUUCCUUUUUUUACCUUUGCCUUGAUUUUCUAUCCCAUAAAUGGUAUUCAGCAUACUUUUAAU
rnacentral:lncRNA from 1 species